AGAAGGAUUUUAAGGAAUGGGAUAAGGAAAGAGAACCACACACAACCAAUGCUUCAGAAAAAAAACUCAUCAAUUAAAGGAAAAGGGAGGAGAAAGAAGGAAAAGGGGCUCCACUGAAAAAGACGAACAGAUAUGAGUGGCUCACAACUGGGGUAUUGAAAUUGCUUUGCUAUUUCUAUAAUACCAGGUACCUUUGUUUUUAUUCAUUUACAUGGCAAAUGUUUUUCUGAUUCCUAAGCAGCACGUGGCCUUUGAUACUCCAUUCCUUUGAGGCCCGUUUGGUCCUCAUAGGUAGAUAUUUUUGGUUAGUGUUGGCUUAUGGCAGUGUAUUGAUUGGUUGGGUUAUGGGGCUAUCCUUUUUGGAUAUGGCUUAAUAUCUUUGCCUCCUUAGUUUCUUUUCUAAUUUAGUUAACUUUUUUUAA